rnacentral:rRNA from 1 species
UGCCAGCCGCCGCGGUAAUACGAAGGGGGCAAGCGUUGUUCGGAAUUACUGGGCGUAAAGAGUACGUAGGUGGAUGGGAAAGUUAGAUGUGAAAGCCCAGGGCUCAACCUUGGAACUGCAUUUAAAACUACUCGUCUAGAGUCAGCUAGGGGACGAUGGAAUUCCAUGUGUAGCGGUGAAGUGCGUAGAUAUAUGGAGGAACACCAGAGGCGAAGGCGAUCGUCUGGGGCUGUACUGACACUGAGGUACGAAAGCGUGGGGAGCAAACAGGAUUAGAUA